UACGGAAGAUGCGAGCGUUAUCCGGAUUUAUUGGGUUUAAAGGGUGCGUAGGCGGAAGUUUAAGUCAGCGGUGAAAUGCCCCAGCUUAACUGGGGAACUGCCGUUGAAACUGGGCUUCUAGAGUGUAAAAGAGGUAUGCGGAAUGCGUGGUGUAGCGGUGAAAUGCAUAGAUAUCACGCAGAACCCCGAUUGCGAAGGCAGCAUACUGGGCUACAACUGACGCUGAAGCACGAAAGCGUGGGGAUCAAACAGG
rnacentral:rRNA from 1 species